AACGAACGCUGGCGGCGUGUUUAAGACAUGCAAGUCGAACGGGUUGAAGUUGUAGCAAUACCGCUUCAACCAGUGGCGCACGGGUGCGUAACACGUGAGUUACAUGCCCUGCAGUGGGGAAUAGCCCGCCGAAAGGCGGAUUAAUACCCCAUGGUCCCGCAAGGGUAAAGGUGGCGAAAGCUGCCGCUGCAGGAUUGGCUAGCGGCCUAUCAGCUAGUUGGCGGGGUAACGGCCCACCAAGGCGACGACGGGUACCUGGUCUGAGAGGAUGAUCAGGCACACUGGAACUGAGACACGGUCCAGACACCGACGGGUGGAAGCAGUCGGGAAUAAUUCACAAUGGGCGAAAGCCUGAUGGUGCAACGCCGCGUGGAGGAUGAAGGUCUUCGGAUUGUAAUCUCCUGUCAUCGGGGAGUAAGACCGGGAGGUGAAUAGCCUACAGGGUUGAUAGUACCCGAAAAGGAAGGGACGGCUAACUUCGUGCCAGCAGCCGCGGUAACAC
rnacentral:rRNA from 1 species